AAAAAAAAAAUAGAACACUGAGAUCUUCAUAAUGUACUAAUGGCCAGGGCGCCCCUGCUUUGCAGCCCCUGAGCUGAGUGAACCCCCAUAGUACCAAGGACUAGCGCAGUAGGGAGGGUCUCUUGGGAAGGCAAACGUAGGCCCAAGUGUCCUCGGCUUCCGGCUCUUGCACCGUGCAAGGAACCUUCCGGGCUGGUGUGUUCUCUUUGGGUCCCACACGCUUUUAACCGUGGGGCUGAGUUUCCUAAUUGGCAGGUUGGAGCACUGAAGCCUUGGCGGCCGCCGGGGGCUACAGUGUGUGGGGUAAUUAGGGUUUGAAAAUGACUUUGAAGCCUCUCAAAGCACAGGUGCUGAAAGCACAGGGCGAAGCUGGGAGGGGAUUUCAAAGGGCUUGCUCCUUAAAGUGCCACCGCUGGCUAUGCCCUGUUCUCGUCCCUGGGCCUGGGGGCCUUAGCCUGAGGGCAUGAACAGGGGCUACCCUCCACUGUGGGAAUGCAUCAGACAGCCAUGCCCCUGCCCGCACCAGCCUGUCCUGUCUUUCCUCCCUCUGUCCCCUGUCCUUUCUCAGCUGGACUCUCAGCGAGCCCGUCUGUGGGCUGGUCACAGUGUCAACUGUAAUGCUAGCUCCAUGUGCAGCUUGCAGCCCAGCAAGGACAACAGACAGGGGUUUGGAGUUACCCGUGCAGCCUGCGUUACAAGAUGGAGCUCGCAGACAAGCCCCCAGGGGUCAGGAGCCAGCCCCCUCGACCAGAAGCACAGGCUCACGUCCCGGCUGCUCUGCUUCUGAUCCAGCUCCCUGCUAAUGCACCUGGGAAAGCAGCAGAAGAUGGCCCAAGUAUUUGGGCCCCUGCCACCUAUAAAGGAGACCCGGGUGGAGGAUCCUGGCUUCAGCCUGGUCCAGCCCUGGAUGUUUCAGCCAUUUGAAAAGUGAACCAGGGGCUGGCACUGUGGCGUAGCAGGGCCUGGGAAAGCAGUGGAGGACAGCCCAGGUCCUUGGGCCCCUGCACCUGCAUAGGAGACCCGGAAGAAGCUCCUGCCUCCUGGCUUCGGAUCAGCACAGCUCUGGCCGUUGCAGCCAAUUGGGGAGUGAACCAGCGGAUUCUCUCUGCCUCUCCUUCUCUCUCUGUGUAACUCUGACUUUUGAAUAAAUAAAUAUUUAAAAAAAAGUGAACAAGCAGAUGGAAAAAAAAUCUCUCUAUCGCUUUGUCAAAUAAAUAAAUCAAAUUUUUUUAAAAAGGGAAAUGUUAAGACUUGACUGUACUUUUUUCAGAGCUCAGUAAUUACUUCCUUGCAUUCAUCUCAUAGAGGAAAUCUGGUCAACACACACCUCUAAUUCUGCUCUUCUGUGACCAUCAAAUCACUUUUGGAGCUUUUUUGAAUCUUAAGACAGCAGCACCUCACCUGCAAAGUAGGUACUAUUGUUAAGUCCGAAUUUGGGGUAAGUACACUGGCUCUGAGAGGUCACUGCCCAAGGUCACCCAACCAGGAAGGUGCAGAGGAAGGAUUUGAACCUGUCCAUCUGGCAGCGAAGCCGAAGCACAUUGCAGUGUGGUCAAGGUCACGGCUGACACCUGGGAGAUGGCCUGUCCCAGACACAGCCCUAAGGAGAAAAAUCCUCUAUCUGUGCAGUGCUCCUUGAAGAUGCUGGAGGGAAAGCAAUUCCCACCUCUGAAAUCGGUGUGUGCUCUGAGCUGGGCUGACAUCCCACAGAGCGGGGCGGAGGGGCGAGCCCUGCUCUGCGUGUGUCUGCCUACUAAUGAGGCAGGGAUGCCCGCGUCCCCAGCAAGGGCCUGACCUCCGGGUUCUUCGGAUGCCAGCUUUUGUCUGAGGCUUUUUCUCUUUGAGACAGCAUUGAACUUGUUCUUGGAAUGGCUGCAGAGUAAAAGGGCCUUCCAGGGCCUCUGUUGAAUGAAGUGCUCUGUUCCCAUGUAAGCUUUGAAAGAUGUGAGGAGCAAACAAAUGCGGAGUGACUGAGACAUUCUGCCGGCGGCGUGGGUGUCCGGUCCACUGGCUAAGAUGCCUGCAUCCCACACUGCAGAGCCUGGGUUCAAUACCUGCCUUUGGCUCCUGAUGCCAGCAGACCCAGGAAGGCAGCAGCAAUGGCUCAAGCAGUUGGGUUCCUGCCACCCACAUGGAGAUCUGGAUUGAGUUCUCAGCUCCUGGUGAUGGCUUGGCCCAGCCCCAGCCCUUGUGGGCAUUUGGGGAGUGAACCAGCAAAUGGGAGUUUGCUCUCUCCUGCUCCCCCAAAAAA